UACGUAGGUGGCAAGCGUUGUCCGGAUUUACUGGGUGUAAAGGGCGUGCAGCCGGAGAGACAAGUCAGAUGUGAAAUCCACGGGCUCAACCCGUGAACUGCAUUUGAAACUGUUUCCCUUGAGUGUCGGAGAGGUAAUCGGAAUUCCUUGUGUAGCGGUGAAAUGCGUAGAUAUAAGGAAGAACACCAGUGGCGAAGGCGGCCUGCUGGACUGUAACUGACACUGAGGCUCGAAAGCGUGGGGAGCAAACAGG
rnacentral:rRNA from 1 species